rnacentral:rRNA from 1 species
GGGGUGGAUUAGUGGCGAACGGGUGAGUAACACGUGGGCAAUCUGCCCUGCACUCUGGGACAAGCCCUGGAAACGGGGUCUAAUACCGGAUAUGACUGUCCACCGCAUGGUGGAUGGUGUAAAGCUCCGGCGGUGCAGGAUGAGCCCGCGGCCUAUCAGCUUGUUGGUGAGGUAGUGGCUCACCAAGGCGACGACGGGUAGCCGGCCUGAGAGGGCGACCGGCCACACUGGGACUGAGACACGGCCCAGACUCCUACGGGAGGCAGCAGUGGGGAAUAUUGCACAAUGGGCGAAAGCCUGAUGCAGCGACGCCGCGUGAGGGAUGACGGCCUUCGGGUUGUAAACCUCUUUCAGCAGGGAAGAAGCGAAAGUGACGGUACCUGCAGAAGAAGCGCCGGCUAACUACGUGCCAGCAGCCGCGGUAAUACGUAGGGCGCAAGCGUUGUCCGGAAUUAUUGGGCGUAAAGAGCUCGUAGGCGGCUUGUCACGUCGGUUGUGAAAGCCCGGGGCUUAACCCCGGGUCUGCAGUCGAUACGGGCAGGCUAGAGUUCGGUAGGGGAGAUCGGAAUUCCUGGUGUAGCGGUGAAAUGCGCAGAUAUCAGGAGGAACACCGGUGGCGAAGGCGGAUCUCUGGGCCGAUACUGACGCUGA